UAAACAAUUAUUUAUAUUUUUAAAAUUAAUUUUCCAGAGAUAUUGGAACGAAAUUCGGUAUAUACACUCAGCGACAUUACUAGCGCCGCAAUUGAUUUUGUCCAUCAAAAUUGAUUUAUUGUUUUAGUGUCAGGGAGAUAAAAGGCUCGCGUGUGAGUGAUAAUAUCUUUGAAUUUACAAAGUUUGGUAUCUUACCUACAAAUUGUAUGAAUAUUUCGAAUUUGUUUGAAAAAUUUCAUUACUAAAUAAAAGGAAUAGGUAUCAGAAAAUGCCAAAAUAUCAUAGAUUGAUCGAAAAGCAAAAAUUUUAAUUUGCACAUAUUCGUAGGGAAAUAUGUCAAAUAUGAAAAUUGUAAGGCAUGUUAGGAUGCAGUGAGUCAUCUGUACGUCAGUUUUUGACUUCGUAUCGUGUGACCGGGCCCCAGGAAGGGCGGAAAUACUUUAAAAGACCUUCUGUUUUGAAUAGCCGGGAUUGUGCUAAAUUGACUCGGUUUUACGCUAAAAAUCGGCUCGCAUCUGCUUCAAAAAUUAAAGAAGAGCUUGUGAGGGCUCAGGAGUAAGUUGUUCAACGCGAAUAAUACAGCGAAAACUGAAAGACAUAGACCUAGAAUCGUACCGGCCAGCAAAAAAAAAACCUCCUGUCUGCGAAAAUGUGAAGUACAUGACUGGAAUGGUGCAAACGACAUGAAAGUUGGACAGCUGAGGAUUGGGAACAAGUCAUCUUUUCAGAUAAAUAAAUAUAGUAAUUAACGCGCACAAAAGGUGAACGUUUCAGCGGAGAAUGCAUAUUACCUACGGUGAAGCAUUCUCGAAUAUCAUGGUAUGGGGAGCUAUAACAAAAUAAGGAGUUGGUUCUAUUUCGAUACUAGAUGCAGCAGCAUACAAAGAAAUUGUCGAACAUUUUGUUGUACCCACAAUUGACGACCUGUCACAACACCCCCAAACUACGAAAGUUUUACAGGAAGAAUUGCCAAUAAAUUCGCUGGGAUGGCCUGGGAACAGUCCUGACCUGAACCAUAUUGAAAACGUUUGGUCAGUAUUGAAGCGAAAAAUUCGAGAGAAAGAACCGGAAACAGUCCUAGACCUUUGGAAAAUUAUCAAAGAAGUCUGGUGCAGUGGAAUCGAUAAAAAUUACCUGCAGGCGCUUUAUAAUUAUAGAGAGAGGCUAUAUAAACAAAUUAUUUACAAAUCAUAUCUGUUCUGGAAGCAAUAAACACAAAAUUGGCCUUUAAAA